rnacentral:rRNA from 1 species
GGCUCAGGACGAACGCUGGCGGUGUGCUUAACACAUGCAAGUCGAACGAAGCACUUAUCUUUGAUUCUUCGGAUGAAGAGGUUUGUGACUGAGUGGCGGACGGGUGAGUAACGCGUGGGUAACCUGCCUCAUACAGGGGGAUAACAGUUAGAAAUGACUGCUAAUACCGCAUAAGACCACGGAGCCGCAUGGCUCAGUGGGAAAAACUCCGGUGGUAUGAGAUGGACCCGCGUCUGAUUAGGUAGUUGGUGGGGUAACGGCCUACCAAGCCAACGAUCAGUAGCCGACCUGAGAGGGUGACCGGCCACAUUGGGACUGAGACACGGCCCAAACUCCUACGGGAGGCAGCAGUAGG